GUAAGCUAUCGCUGAGGGAUGGGCCUGCGGGCCAUUAGCUUUGUUGGGUGAGGUAACGGCUCACCAAGGCUGUGAUGGCUAGCUGGUCUGAGAGGAUGACCAGCCACACUGGGACUGAGACACGGCCCAGACUCCUACGGGAGGCAGCAGUGGGGAAUAUUGCGCAAUGGGCGAAAGCCUGACGCAGCGACGCCGCGUGGGUGAUGAAGGCCUUCGGGUCGUAAAGCCCUGUCGCAGGGGAAGAAUAAGCAUCGGUAUAAUACGCCGGUGCCCUGACGGUACCCUGCAAGAAAGCACCGGCUAACUCCGUG
rnacentral:rRNA from 1 species